CGUCACAGCAGUUUUUAUAAGAUAUCAAUAAUAGACUUCGGAAACGUCUGUGGGAGAGAGAAUUUUCAUUGGAAAUUUUUCACCAGAACCUAUGUUACCUCAUCUCAUUAUUCAAAUGGUGGAGUUCUUCUUUAACCAUAUUCUCGUUUUCAAACUUCAUAUGACUCUCAUGUUCAUUUGGAUCUACAGAUGGCUCACUUCUUUUCUCAGACUGCCCUUGUCUGAUGUACUUUGGUAGCUAUAAUACAAAGCGUGAGGCAAAAGUUAUACAUGGAGACUCAAGAUAUGAAAUUGAUCUUAUUAACUUGGGAGUAUGUUGUAUGAUAUCGCAGUGAAACUGCCUCUUGGCAUACCACUUGAUGGAUUUACCAAUGCAUGCACCAGCUGAGCAAUUUCAUUGCGUUAUAGGACUCACCAAUGCAUGCACCAGCUGAGCAAUUCCUUACUCUUUGGUGCGAGAUUAUGCUGUUUGUGUCAUUAAUUUGUCAUAAUGGUGGAUGUAUGGCGAGGGGAUUGAAGAAGCAUUUGAAGACGCUUAAUAGACCCAAACAUUGGAUGCUCGAUGAACUUGGAGGUGAAUUUGUAAGCAAAGGAUCAAUAUAAAUAAAGGAUUGUAUUUUGUUUGAAACAGGCGACAGAAAUCUCAUCACUUCAGAGUUAGCGCUUGUGCUGGACCAUUGGUGUGUUUGAUUCCGAUGGUAAAAUGCUGGGUUACUUUCAACCGGGUCAUAGUGAACAGGUGUGUGUACUGUUUCAGGAAUUUAAACAUGCUUCAUUUUGUUAAUAUACUAAAGAAAUUUGACAAAGUAAGUAUAAUGAGUACUCUGUAUCCUUGAGAUUUCAAUUAGUCAUUGAAUGCUUUUAUAGUUUAUACCCCAGUACUUAAUAUGAUAAAUUACUGAGAUUUUUUUAUUUGAUUUUCAGGUUGUAAAAAACAAGCUUUAUCAUAAAUACCUUUGAACGAAUAUAAUUACAUUACUGACUGUAAUUCGCUUCUUAGACUUUUAUUUUUGUUAUCGGGAGUAUGGAAAAUAUUCUUUACAGACCCUUGAGUUACAGUUCUAAAUAUAUGGUUCAUCUAUAAACUUGUUUCAAAUGGUUCUGGAGAGAUCAUGUGGAUAUGACCAGCAUAUCAUAUAUAUCCAAUUGAACAUUGGUCCAUCCAUAAACUUGGUCUGUUGAUGCAGCGGUUCAAUAGUUUGUGCUUUGAUGUUGUUGUGUACAGACUUCUGCUAAAAUCUGGAUAGUCAUCUUUAACAUGUGGAUGUGUCAUUUGACCAGUUGGCUUUGGGUACACUUGGCUAGAUUGAACUAAUAACAGGUUUCAGAUGGCAGUUGGCAAGUACAUUCUUUUUGAAGGAAUCCAUAGACAAGGAUCCUUAUUUUCAGUCACUUGUUCGAAUCGUUAUAUCUUAAGACUGGAGUGAUGGAAGAUUUUGAAGCUUUUAGAUUUGUUAAGUUCGCUAGUAAUGAAGUGCUGCCUGUAGUAAGCUGCUAGCUCACAUGGAAUAUUUUGAAGCUUUUUGUUUUGUUAAGUUUGUAAAAGGAAUGUAGGUUGAGCAUUUUUUACUUAUGGUUGAAAUUUUCAGAUUUAUAACUUAAAAGGUAUGAUAAUAGAAGUUGUAAACAAACUCAUUUUAAUACAGAUCAAGUUUUUAAUUUGUUACGAA